UACUCCUACGGGAGGCAGCAGUGGGGAAUCUUGCACAAUGGGCGAAAGCCUGAUGCAGCAACGCCGCGUGCGGGACGAAGGCCUUCGGGUCGUAAACCGCUUUCAGCAGGGACGAGGCCGCGAGGUGACGGUACCUACAGAAGAAGCCCCGGCUAACUACGUGCCAGCAGCCGCGGUAAUA
rnacentral:rRNA from 1 species